rnacentral:pre_miRNA from 1 species
GAAACACCCAUAUGGGGCAGGACUUGCUUCAGUGGGGCUUUGGUGCUCACUGAGUCUGCCACUGAGUGUGUCUCU